GUGAGUCAUCGAAUCUUUGAACGCACAUUGCGCCCUCUGGUAUUCCGGGGGGCAUGCCCGUUCGAGCGUCAUUACAACCCUCAAGCUCUGCUUGGUGUUGGGCGGCACCGCCUGGUGCGCCCCAAAACCAGUGGCGGCGCCGUCUUGGCUUCAAGCGUAGUAACACUUCUCGCUUCGGGACCAGGCGUGCUCCUGCCAGCAACCCCCACACUUCAAAGGUUGACCUCGGAUCGGGUAGGGAUACCCGCUGAACUUAAGCAUAUCAAUAAGCGGAGGA
rnacentral:misc_RNA from 1 species